UACGUAGGGUCCGAGCGUUGUCCGGAAUUACUGGGCGUAAAGAGCUCGUAGGUGGUUUGUCGCGUUGUUCGUGAAAACUCACAGCUCAACUGUGGGCGUGCGGGCGAUACGGGCAGACUGGAGUACUGCAGGGGAGACUGGAAUUCCUGGUGUAGCGGUGGAAUGCGCAGAUAUCAGGAGGAACACCGGUGGCGAAGGCGGGUCUCUGGGCAGUAACUGACGUUGAGGAGCGAAAGCGUGGGGAGCGAACAGG
rnacentral:rRNA from 1 species